UGAAAAUUUCUGCAUUUUCCUGAUUUGGAUCGUGAAGAUUAAGAACUUAUCGUAUAAGGCUUGAGAUUCUGCUUUGAGCUGUGUUUUUGGCAAUGCAGACUUUAUAUUCUUGUGGAGAAGGGAUGGAGAUCAGAACUAUGAUGGAAAACAAAAGGGGCCCUUGCUCUGUCGACCAUAGCAAUAUCACUUCUUUGGCAUCGAAAAGGCAGAAGGCCGAUUUGUCUAUCUCCACAAAGGAUAGAAAAGAGAAGUUUGGCGAAUGCAUUGUCGCUCUGUAGCAGCUUGUUUCACCGGAAAG